GUUCCCGAUGAUGUUUUUCUCCUUUUACCAUGCUAAUUCUGAUCAAUGAUUAAAAUUUUCGGAUUAUUGUACUGAGGGAACU
rnacentral:snoRNA from 1 species